rnacentral:rRNA from 1 species
GACGAACGCUGGCGGCGUGCUUAACACAUGCAAGUCGAACGGAAAGGCCCCUUUGGGGGUACUCGAGUGGCGCACGGGUGUGUAACACGUGAGUAACCUGCCCUUGACUUCGGGAUAACUUCAGGAAACUGGGGCUAAUACCGGAUAGGAAUCCUUGCUGCAUGGUGGGGGUUGGAAAGCUUCGGCGGUUUUGGAUGGACUCGCGGCUUAUCAGCUUGUUGGUGGGGUAGUGGCUUACCAAGGCUUUGACGGGUAGCCGGCCUGAGAGGGCGACCGGCCACAUUGGGACUGAGAUACGGCCCAGACUCCUACGGGAGGCAGCGGUGGGGAAUAUUGCACAAUGGGCGGAAGCCUGAUGCAGCAACGCCGCGUGCGGGAUGACGGCCUUCGGGUUGUAAACCGCUUUCAGCAGGGGCGAAGCUUGUGGUGACGGUACCUGCAGAAGAAGCACCGGCUAACUACGUG